CAGUAGCCGCGGUAAUACGUAGGUCCCGAGCGUUGUCCGGAUUUAUUGGGCGUAAAGCGAGCGCAGGCGGUUAGAUAAGUCUGAAGUUAAAGGCUGUGGCUUAACCAUAGUACGCUUUGGAAACUGUUUAACUUGAGUGCAAGAGGGGAGAGUGGAAUUCCAUGUGUAGCGGUGAAAUGCGUAGAUAUAUGGAGGAACACCGGUGGCGAAAGCGGGUCUCUGGCUUGUAACUGACGCUGAGGCUCGAAAGCGUGGGGAGCAAACAGGAUUAGAUACCCGAGUAGUCCCUGUCUCUUAUACC
rnacentral:rRNA from 1 species